rnacentral:rRNA from 1 species
UACAGAGGGGGCAAGCGUUGUUCGGAAUUACUGGGCGUAAAGGGCGCGUAGGCGGCCUGCUAAGUCGAACGUGAAAUCCCCGGGCUCAACCCGGGAACUGCGUCCGAUACUGGCGGGCUCGAAUCCGGGAGAGGGAUGCGGAAUUCCAGGUGUAGCGGUGAAAUGCGUAGAUAUCUGGAGGAACACCGGUGGCGAAGGCGGCAUCCUGGACCGGUAUUGACGCUGAUGCGCGAAAGCCAGGGGAGCAAACGGG